GACGAACGCUGGCGGCGUGCCUAAUACAUGCAAGUCGAACGAAGCUGUUUUAACUGGUGCUUGCACCGACUUAAACAACUGAGUGGCGAACGGGUGAGUAACACGUGGGUAACCUGCCCCAAAGCGGGGGAUAACAUUUGGAAACAGAUGCUAAUACCGCAUAACCACAGAAACCACAUGGUUUCUGUGUCAAAGAUGGUUCCGGCUAUCACUUUGGGAUGUACCCGCGGCGUAUUAGCUAGUUGGUAAGGUAAUGGCUUACCAAGGCAAUGAUACGUAGCCGAACUGAGAGGUGGAUCGGACACAUUGGGACUGAGACACGGCCCAAACUCCUACGGGAGGCAGCAGUAGGGAAUCUUCCACAAUGGACGAAAGUCUGAUGGAGCAACGCCGCGUGAGUGAAGAAGGUUUUCGGAUCGUAAAACUCUGUUGUCAGAGAAGAACGUGUGCGAGAGUAACUGUUCGUGCAGUGACGGUAUCUGGCCAGAAAGCCACGGCUAACUACGUGCCAGCCGCCGCUGUAA
rnacentral:rRNA from 1 species